AUACGUAGGUGGCAAGCGUUGUCCGGAAUUAUUGGGCGUAAAGCGCAUGUAGGCGGUUUGGUAAGUCGGUCGUGAAAAUGCGGUGCUUAACGCCGUAUGGCGAUCGAAACUGAUGAACUUGAGUGCAGGAGAGGAAAGGGGAACUCCCAGUGUAGCGGUGAAAUGCGUAGAUAUUGGGAAGAACACCGGUGGCGAAGGCGCCUUUCUGGCCUGUGUCUGACGCUCAGAUGCGAAAGCCAGGGUAGCGAACGGGAUUAGAUACCCCGGUAGUCCUGGCCGUAAACGAUGGUUACUAGGUGUGGGAGGUAUCGACUCCUUCCGUGCCGGAGUUAACGCAAUAAGUACCCCGCCUGGGGAGUACGGCCGCAAGGCUUAAACUCAAAUGAAUUGACGGGG
rnacentral:rRNA from 1 species